rnacentral:ncRNA from 1 species
UCUUAUUCAGAGAGGUGGAGAGUGAAGGCUCUAUGAAACCCGGCAACCCCAUCAAUUUUAUUGGAAGGUGCCAAUCUUAGCGAGUAAUCGAACAAUA